CGGGUCCUUCGGGAUGCCGGCGAGCGGCGGACGGGUGAGGAAUGCGUCGGAAUCUGCCUUUUUGUGGGGGAUAACGUAGGGAAACUUACGCUAAUACCGCAUACGACCUACGGGUGAAAGUGGGGGACCGCAAGGCCUCACGCAGAAAGAUGAGCCGACGUCGGAUUAGCUAGUUGGCGGGGUAAAGGCCCACCAAGGCGACGAUCCGUAGCUGGUCUGAGAGGAUGAUCAGCCACACUGGAACUGAGACACGGUCCAGACUCCUACGGGAGGCAGCAGUGGGGAAUAUUGGACAAUGGGCGCAAGCCUGAUCCAGCCAUGCCGCGUGUGUGAAGAAGGCCUUCGGGUUGUAAAGCACUUUUGUCCGGAAAGAAAUCCUGUCGGCUAAUACCCGGCGGGGAUGACGGUACCGGAAGAAUAAGCACCGGCUAACUUCGUGCCAGCAGCCGCGGUAAUACGAAGGGUGCAAGCGUUACUCGGAAUUACUGGGCGUAAAGCGUGCGUAGGUGGUCUGUUAAGUCUGAUGUGAAAGCCCUGGGCUCAACCUGGGAACUGCAUUGGAUACUGGCAGUCUGGAGUGCGGUAGAGGGUAGCGGAAUUCCCGGUGUAGCAGUGAAAUGCGUAGAUAUCGGGAGGAACAUCCGUGGCGAAGGCGGCUACCUGGACCAGCACUGACACUGAGGCACGAAAGCGUGGGGAGCAAACAGGAUUA
rnacentral:rRNA from 1 species